AUACGGAGGGGACAAGCGUUAUUCGGAAUCACUGGGCGUAAAGGACGCGUAGGCGGGUUAUUAAGUCGGGUGUGAAAUCCAAUGGCUCAACCAUUGAACUGCAUUCGAAACUGAUAACCUAGAGUAUGUAAGGGGCAGGUGGAAUUAGUGGUGUAAGGGUAAAAUCCGUAGAUAUCACUAGGAAUACCGAAAGCGAAGGCGACCUGCUGGGACAUUACUGACGCUGAGGCGUGAAAGCGUGGGGAGCAAACAGUAUUAGAAACCCCGGUAGUCC
rnacentral:rRNA from 1 species